CCUACGGGUGGCAGCAGUGAGGAAUAUUGGUCAAUGGGCGGGAGCCUGAACCAGCCAAGUCGCGUGAGGGACGACGGUCCUAUGGAUUGUAAACCUCUUUUGUCGGGGAACAAAUGCGCCCACGGGUGGGCGGAUGAGUGUACCCGAAGAAACAGCAUCCGCUAACUCCGGGCCAGCAGCCGCGGUAAUACGGAGGGUGCGAGCGUUAUCCGGAUUUAUUGGGUUGAACGGGAGCGUAGAUGGGUUGUUAAGUCAGUUGUGAAAGUUUGCGGCUCAACCGUAAAAUUGCAAUUGAUACUGGCAGUCUUGAGUACAGGUGAGGUAGGCGGAAUUCGUGGUGUAGCGGUGAAAUGCUUAGAUAUCACGAAGAACUCCGAUUGCGAAGGCAGCUUACUAAACUGCCACUGACAUUGAUGCUCGAAAGUGUGGGUAUCAAACAGGAUUAGAUACCCGAGUAGUC
rnacentral:rRNA from 1 species